GACGAACGCUGGCGGCGUGCUUAACACAUGCAAGUCGAACGGAAAGGCCCUGCUUUUGUGGGGUGCUCGAGUGGCGAACGGGUGAGUAACACGUGAGUAACCUGCCCUUUACUUUGGGAUAACUUCAGGAAACUGGGGCUAAUACCGGAUAGGAGCUCCUGCUGCAUGGUGGGGGUUGGAAAGUUUCGGCGGUUGGGGAUGGACUCGCGGCUUAUCAGCUUGUUGGUGGGGUAGUGGCUUACCAAGGCUUUGACGGCUAGCCGGCCUGCGAGGGUGACCGGCCACAUGGGGACUGAGUUCAGGCCGAGUCGCCUAUAAGAGGCAUCGGUGGGGACUCUAGCGCAGCCAGUGGAAGAGUGUGGAAGAAACGUCGCGUGCGGGAUGCAGGACUUCGGGUGGUAAACGGCAUUCGCCUGUGACGAUGCGUGAGUGACGGUAGUUGGUAAAGAAGCACCGGCUAGCUACGUG
rnacentral:rRNA from 1 species